AAAGAUUUGUGGGUGUCAGGGAGCUGCCGUCAAUAUCCAGGAGACUCCUGCAACUUCUGGUAGAGUGAAAUGGGAUGAUGAUGCAAACGCAGUAAUGUUUCUUUCAAGCCAGUGGCUACCACUACUGAUGUUAGUGUUUCAAACAUGAGCUUCCUCCUGCAGGGGCUGAACUCCAGAUGUUUGAUGUAAACCCAUUUUCUCUGGAUGCCAUUAUACUGGAACAUUGACUAAUUCAAGCACAGAAACUUUCUGAUUUAGUGGGAACACAGAAAAUGCAGCCUGUCAUUUAGUUCAAUUUCAUGCUGGUAGAUUUUCAUGUCAUGAUGUUUUUCUUAUUCUCUUUGCUUUCUGUGUUUUGGA